rnacentral:rRNA from 1 species
UACCCGCAGCUCAAGUGGUGGUCAUUAUUAUUGGGCGUAAAGCGCACGUAGGCGGAUUGUUAAGUCAGGGGUGAAAUCCUGGAGCUCAACUCCAGAACUGCCUUUGAUACUGGCGAUCUCGAGUCCGGGAGAGGUGAGUGGAACUGCGAGUGUAGAGGUGAAAUUCGUAGAUAUUCGCAAGAACACCAGUGGCGAAGGCGGCUCACUGGCCCGGUACUGACGCUGAGGUGCGAAAGCGUGGGGAGCAAACAGG